rnacentral:lncRNA from 1 species
GGGCCUACUUCCUAUUAAGAACCUGGAGUUCACCUUGUAGAUUUAGCAGAGGGGGUGAGAAAUGACUCUUGUGAAUUGUAGAAGCAAUAGCAUGUACAAAGUUAGGUUGAUCAACCUAAAAGAAAAGAUAAAGCGGGUUUUUUCUUUCUAUAGAGAAGUGACUGCGCUAGAGAUGCUUAUUAAAGGUUUGCUUGGUGGCUUCCUUGCUUGACAGGCUUUCCUUGUUGAUUGGCUU